UACAGAGGUCUCAAGCGUUGUUCGGAUUCAUUGGGCGUAAAGGGUGCGUAGGUGGCGCUGUAAGUCGGGUGUGAAAUUUCGGAGCUUAACUCCGAAACUGCAUUCGAUACUGCGGUGCUUGAGGACUGGAGAGGAGACUGGAAUUCACGGUGUAGCAGUGAAAUGCGUAGAUAUCGUAAGGAAGACCAGUGGCGAAGGCGAGUCUCUGGACAGUUACUGACGCUGAGGCACGAAGGCCAGGGGAGCAAACGGG
rnacentral:rRNA from 1 species